UGUGGAGCUGGCUUAAAACCCUAAUCAAGGAACUCCUGCAGUUGAGAGAUGUGGAAUAAUCUCCCUCCAACACAGCACUUCACCCAGUACUACAAUAUCUGGACAAUGAGCACCAGGAAGAGGAUGGUACUGAGGCACCCAAUAUAAGAAAGCUGGAAAGCAGAGAAGAGAAUAGCAGAAAUCCAUUACACUUGCAUUUCAUCCAGAAGAUACGGAGUUCUUCCAUCAAAGCACUACAGAGACAAUUUAGUACAGAUUUGAGAGACAAAGCCAUGGAGCAGCUCCCAGCACAGCUGCACGCGAUGCCCAGACUGCCGGGCCCACCUCAACAUCUCCAUGUAACCCUGAGCAGCACGGCUGCCAGUUUUAAUGAAGUGAUGUGAUUACUGAGAUUAAAAAAAAGAAGUAUCCUAAAUCAUGCUGCAUUAUUGCAACUUAUUAUAGAACAUAAAUUAUUGAUGUUUAAGGAAUGUGACACAGCAAAGCAGGGAGCGAAAGAAGUGCGUUCAGUAAUUCAGUACAGCCUUCAGUUACAGACUUCCUCUGAAGAAGAGCAAAU